rnacentral:rRNA from 1 species
GACAGAGGUCCCGAGCGUUAGGCGGAAUCACUGGGCUUAAAGCGUGUGUAGGCGGAUUUGUAAGUACCUUGUGAAAUCCCACAGCUUAACUGUGGAACUGCUUGGUAUACUGCUUAUCUUGGGCCACUUAGGGGUUACCGGAACAAACGGUGGAGCGGUGAAAUGCGUAGAUAUCAUUUGGAACGCCAAUGGUGAAAAACAGGUAGCUGGGGCUGUACUGACACUGAGACACGAAAGCCAGGGGAGCAAACGGG